rnacentral:rRNA from 1 species
ACGUAGGCACCAAGCGUUGUCCGGAUUUAUUGGGCGUAAAGAGCUCGUAGGCGGUUCAGUAAGUCGGGUGUGAAAACUCUGGGCUCAACCCAGAGACGCCACCCGAUACUGCUGUGACUUGAGUACGGUAGGGGAGCGGGGAAUUCCUGGUGUAGCGGUGAAAUGCGCAGAUAUCAGGAGGAACACCAGUGGCGAAGGCGCCGCUCUGGGCCGUAACUGACGCUGAGGAGCGAAAGCGUGGGGAGCAAACAGGAUUAGAUACCCUGGUAGUCCACGCCGUAAACGUUGGGCACUAGGUGUGGGUCUCAACCAACGAGAUCCGCGCCGUCGCUAACGCAUUAAGUGCCCCGCCUGGGGAGUACGGUCGCAAGACUA